CGCACGGGUGAGUAACACGUAUGCAACCUGCCUGCCACAGCCGGAUAAUCGGGAGAAACUCCGUCUAAUACGGCAUAAUGCAUCGACGGGACAUCCUGUUGGUGCCAAAGGUUAAUUCCGGUGGCGGAUGGGCAUGCGUCGCAUUAGUUAGUUGGCGGUGUAACGGACCACCAAGACGACGAUGCGUAGGGGUUCUGAGAGGAAGGUCCCCCACACUGGUACUGAGACACGGACCAGACUCCUACGGAAGGCAGCAG
rnacentral:rRNA from 1 species